rnacentral:rRNA from 1 species
GUUGUAUAGUCAAGUAAUUAAGUGCAUGUGGUGGAUGCCUUGGCAGUCAGAGGCGAUGAAAGACGUGAUAGCCUGCGAAAAGCUCCGGGGAGGCGGCAAAUAUCCUUUGAUCCGGAGAUGUCUGAAUGGGGGAACCCACCUACUUUAAGGUAGGUAUUGCAACAUGAAUACAUAGUGUUGCAAGGCGAACGAGGGGAAGUGAAACAUCUCAGUACCCUUAGGAAAAGAAAUCAAUUGAGAUUCCCUCAGUAGCGGCGAGCGAACGGGGAUCAGCCCAUUAAGUUAUGUGUGUUUUAGUGGAACGCUCUGGGAAGUGCGAACGUAGAGGGUGAUAUUCCCGUACACGAAAGGGCACACAUAAUGAUGACGAGUAGGGCGAGGCACGUGAAACCUUGUCUGAAUAUGGGGGGACCAUCCUCCAAGGCUAAAUACUCCUGACUGACCGAUAGUGAACCAGUACCGUGAGGGAAAGGCGAAAAGAACCCCUGUGAGGGGAGUGAAAUAGAUCCUGAAACCGCAUGCAUACAAGCAGUGGGAGCACCUUCGUGGUGUGACUGCGUACCUUUUGUAUAAUGGGUCAGCGACUUAUAUUCAGUAGCGAGGUUAACCGUAUAGGGGAGCCGUAGAGAAAUCGAGUCUUAAUAGGGCGUUUAGUUGCUGGGUAUAGACCCGAAACCAGGCGAUCUAUCCAUGAGCAGGUUGAAGGUUGGGUAACACUAACUGGAGGACCGAACCCACUGUCGUUGAAAAGCCAGGGGAUGACUUGUGGAUAGGGGUGAAAGGCUAAUCAAGCCUGGUGAUAGCUGGUUCUCCCCGAAAGCUAUUUAGGUAGCGCCU